UACGGAGGGUGCGAGCGUUGUCCGGAAUCACUGGGCGUAAAUGGCGCGUAGGCGGCUCGGUAAGUAGGGGGUGAAAUCCUGCGGCUUAACCGCAGGGCUGCCUUCUAAACUGUCGAGCUCGAGCACGGUAGAGGCAGAUGGAAUUCCCGGUGUAGCGGUGGAAUGCGUAGAGAUCGGGAAGAACAUCAGUGGCGAAGGCGGUCUGCUGGGCCGUUGCUGACGCUGAGGCGCGACAGCGUGGGGAGCAAACAGG
rnacentral:rRNA from 1 species